rnacentral:rRNA from 1 species
GACGAACGCUGGCGGCGUGCUUAACACAUGCAAGUCGAACGGUGAAGCCCUUCGGGGUGGAUCAGUGGCGAACGGGUGAGUAACACGUGAGCAACCUGCCCCUGGCUCUGGGACAACCACUGGAAACGGUGGCUAAUACCGGAUACGACCCGCCUCGGCAUCGAGUGUGGGUGGAAAGUUUUGCGGCUGGGGAUGGGCUCGCGGCCUAUCAGCUUGUUGGUGUGGUGAAGGCUCACCAAGGCGACGACGGGUAGCCGGCCUGAGAGGGCGACCGGCCACACUGGGACUGAGACACGGCCCAGACUCCUACGGGAGGCAGCAGUGGGGAAUAUUGCACAAUGGGCGAAAGCCUGAUGCAGCGACGCCGCGUGAGGGAUGACGGCCUUCGGGUUGUAAACCUCUUUCAGCUCCGAAGAAGCGAAAGUGACGGUAGGAGCAGAAGAAGCACCGGCUAACUACGUG